AUUUAGUCCCCCUAAGACUAGCUAGGAUGUUUCCCAACACGUCCUCGUCAUGCUGGAGGUGCAAAAGCACACCAGGGUCGCGCUACACGUAUUUUGGGAAUGCCCAAUCAUAACUCCAUUCUGGACUUCUGUCCAAAAGCUCAUACACGCAGCUACUAGCAUGACCAUACCACUGGACCCUGUACACUACUUGCUUCAUAUGCUCCCCGCGAGCAACCCAUCGAGACACCCAG